UGUGCUCUGCCGCCAUCAUAAAUCAGAGGGAGAGUUUGGGGAGGAUAGAAAGGAACAGCUUUAUUGUUUUGCCAGGCAAAGGGAGUCACAGCUGGCUUAUGCCUUGAAGACUGAGAGCCCCUCUUGGGGUUGGGGUCUUGAG